CGGUGGCUGCGGUCACCGCUGAAAAGGGAAUACCGGUGCGAAUCCGGAGCAGUCCCGCUACUGUAAGUGGAGCCUAAGCAUAAAUGUCACUGACGCAAGUUGGGAAGGCGCUGUGGGCGAUGAAGCUAAGCCAGGAGACCUGCCUGUUGC
rnacentral:ncRNA from 1 species